rnacentral:rRNA from 1 species
UACGGAGGGUGCAAACGUUGCUCGGAAUCAUUGGGCGUAAAGCGUGUGUAGGCGGCCUGUUAAGUCGGGUGCGAAAGCCCCGGGCUCAACCCGGGAAGUGCAUUCGAAACUGGCAGGCUUGAAUACAGGAGAGGGUCGCGGAAUUCCCGGUGUAGAGGUGAAAUGCGCAGAUAUCAGGAGGAACACCGGUGGCGAAGGCGGGUCUCUGGGCCGUAACUGACGCUGAGGAGCGAAAGCGUGGGGAGCGAACAGG